rnacentral:lncRNA from 1 species
AACAUUCCAUCUCUAGUUUUAAUCCUCUUUCUUAUAAAAAUAUAUAUAUAUAUAAAACUUAAAUGAACUGUUGAUCAUUUUGAUUUUAUUAUCCAAUCUUUCAAUUUGUUUGAUUUGAUUCAGUUUACUUUGACUUCAAAUUUUGAAUGUAUUAUUUAUCUUUACAUGUUUAAUUAGUAAGCUUUAUGUAAUUCUCACAACUAUAGUUUUAUUAAAAUAAGUAAUUAGAAUAAAUUUUGAAUCAAAAUAUCGUUGACUAACUUAAAUCAAACAAUUUGAAAGAUUAGAUGAUAAAAUUAAAAUUUUGAAAGAUUGUAUAGCCGAUUAAAAAUGACUCAUAGUUCAGAUAAAUUUUGCACAUUAUUUCCCUCCGUCUUUUUAUUUUUACAUA